UAAACAACAACUAAUAUUAAAAAAAAAUUGUGGGCCCCAUAUUAAACACCAACCAGUAUUAAAAAAAAAAUUGGAACACACCACAUCCAAACUCACGGAAAAAAAAAGUGAACCCCAUGUUAACAAAAUUAAGCAAUAGUAAAAAAAAAAAAGUGAAUCUCAUAAUAAAAAACAAACAAUAUUAAAAAAAAUGUGGGCCCCAUAUUAAACACCAUGCGUAUUCAUAGCAAACACUGAUAUAAUAAAGUUUUAAAUAUGGGACAAACUACAAUGUUAUAUUAAUCGUGUUUUGAACAUAGUUUCUCAUAUUGACAAAAUCAAGCAAUAUAUAAACAAAAAAAAAAAAAAGUGAAUCCCAUAUUAAAAAAAUAAACAGUGUCAAAAAAAAAAGUGCAAACUUUGUAUUCUUAGCAAACACUAAUAUAAUAAAGUUUUAGAUACGGAACACAAAUUACAAUGUUAUAUCAAUCAUGUUUUGAAUAUAGUAUAUAUAUAUAUAUGUUAUAUGCAUAAAAAUAGUGCAAAUUAAUAAUGUCCAAAAGGGCGGGCUCCAUACUAAACAACACUAGGGAAUAUAAAAUAAAAAAAAUAAAAAUAAACUAUAUAAAGCAUGGGUUUAGACCCAUGCUUCAUCGUCCGUUGUCCCUUAAAAAAAAAAGGGGGUGGGCCCCAUACUAAAUAACAUCGAGCAAUAAAAAAAAGGAAGAAAAAAAGUGAAACUCACCACAUCCAAACUCACGGGAACAAAAAAUGGACCCCAUAUUAAUAGAAUCAAGCAAUAUUUUUAAAAAAAGUGAAUCCCAUAUUAAUGAAACAAACAAUGUUAAAAAACAAAUGCUUAGAAAAUCAAACAAUUAAAUCAAUAAUGAUGCCACAUGCGUAUCAACCCAUUAGUGGGAGUAAAUAAAAUUAUUGUACAGCAACAUACUUAAAAUACUCAUGGAAAAAAAAAUGGACCCAUAUUAAAAAAAAAAAGGCAACGUCAAAAAAAAAAAAA